CGUAGGGUGCAAGCGUUGUCCGGAAUUAUUGGGCGUAAAGAGCUCGUAGGCGGUUUGUCGCGUCUGCUGUGAAACCCGAGGCUCAACCUCGGGCCUGCAGUGGGUACGGGCAGACUAGAGUGCGGUAGGGGAGAAUGGAAUUCCUGGUGUAGCGGUGGAAUGCGCAGAUAUCAGGAGGAACACCGAUGGCGAAGGCAGUUCUCUGGCCGUUACUGACGCUGAGGAGCGAAAGCGUGGGAGCGAACAGGAUU
rnacentral:rRNA from 1 species